CUACGGGUGGCUGCAGUGAGGAAUAUUGCACAAUGGGGGGAACCCUGAUGCAGCAACGCCGCGUGGAGGAUGACGCAUUUCGGUGUGUAAACUCCUUUUAUAUGUCAAGAAAAUGACGGUAGCAUAUGAAUAAGCACCGGCUAACUCCGUGCCGGCAGCCGCGGUAAUACGGAGGGUGCAAGCGUUACUCGGAAUCACUGGGCGUAAAGGACGCGUAGGCGGGUUGGAAAGUCAGGUGUGAAAUCCUACAGCUUAACUGUAGAACUGCACUUGAAACUUCUAAUCUAGAGUAUGGGAGGGGGAGAUGGAAUUAGUGGUGUAGGGGUAAGAUCCGUAGAUAUCACUAGGAAUACCUAAAGCGAAGGCGAUCUCCUGGAACAUUACUGACGCUAAGGCGUGAAAGCGUGGGGAGCAAACAGGAUUAGAUACCCCGGUAGUC
rnacentral:rRNA from 1 species